GCGGCCUACCGGUAACCAGAAACUAGGGAAGCAUGACACUAAUAGAAGUCAUCCCUCAACUAUCAUUCAGCAAUAAUUUGCAGGUCAAUUGGCAACUAUGAGCUGCAUCAGGAUGCAAAUCUUGGCUUCUCGUGUCAGGGAAUGUCAAGCAGUUGAUCCUGUGAUCAAGAAGACAGCUAUUGGCGAUGGCCAACUUGUAUCUGAUAACGUUGUUGCUGCUGCCGACUCUUCCUCCUCAUCGAGAGAAGUCUCUUGUGGUUGGUAGGAGUGUGAGCACAGUGGAGAAUACAUGCCUAGCUGUUCCUCACCAAUAGUCUUUAAACAAGCAUGACAAGAACAAAUGGUAGAAUUGCUGUAAUUGUUUGUCCAUCAGAACAGAAGAGAAGAAGGUCUUGAACUUUUUCUUUGAGGAGGAGGAGGAGGGAGAGAAUCUAUGUAUCUAUAUAUAUUAUUCUUUAAUUCUCUUCAUCCGUAUGCAUUUCCUCUGUUCUUCUCCUUCUCCAAGUCUCCACCACCUACCUCUUUCGCACUCUGUGUAACAAUGGGGACAGUACUGCGGCCGCCACCGCAGUAGCUGCUGUGGGUGCAGCAAAUGCUCCGACUGUUGCGACCGCCGCACGCUCCCCAUCGCCGCGUGGGCCGUCGGCGCCUUCGUCCUGGUCGUUCUUCUCAUCGUCGUCAUCGUAUGGCUCGUCCUCCGCCCCACCAAGCCCAGCUUCCACCUCAAGAACACCACCGUCUACAAGUUCAACCUCUCCCUUUCCGACAACAUCCUCUCCGCCGUGGCGCAGGCCACCGUUUCCUUCCACAACCCCGACGGCCGCGUCGGCGUCUGCUACGACGGCGGCGACGUCUAUGCCACUUACCAGGACCAGCAAAUCACCCUACCCCCCCGCCAUCCCUCCGGUCUACCAUGGCCGCGACGACAUCGACGUCUGGUCCCCGGUCGGUCCAAGAAUGUCGCGAACCCAACCUGACCCGACCCUCCGGACUCUUUCACUGGGCCGGACCGCCAAACGUGAUGCGUGGAUCGAGCCAGCCACGGCGACAAAAUGGUACAAGCCCAAAGUCUCACCUUCUUCAAAAGCAAAUUAAAGUGGGACCCACCUAGAGAUUCCGGCGCAUGAUCCAAUCACGGAAGCGGGUAGCCAAUGGUGUAAAUUUGAGUAUUGGUUCUUCUAUCCAGCACAACCGUUACCUUUUUCUGCUCCCACUCUCCCUCCACGGCCACAUUCGAUCGGCUUGAAAUUAGGGCUGCAAAUCUCGCCUUCUGUUCGUCGACUCCCCCCAUGAUUUAUUUGCUUUUAACGAACAGAGAGAACACUUGAGUGGUUACCAGCGAAGGAAGUCCAAUACCUCAAGUUUCGCAGCAAUCCGGGAGGAGGAGGCAUCGCCGGCCUCAUCAUCCCUCACCUCUUCAAAUUGUGUCAGUGUUUUCCCAAUCCAUCUCUACGAGAUCGUAUAUAGCUUUUCUUCUCUUUGUAGUAUUGGGAUACCGAUAAAUGGGGUGCCCUGCCUCCACUCGUAGGAUGAAAUGCUUGCUUUUCUUUUCUUGUUCCUUUGGAUUUUAGAAUAUUUAACCUUUUCUUCUUUCUUGCGGUAACAAAAAUGAUCUUUUCGGAUAUGUCUCACGUACCACUAUGUUCGAAACUUUGUCUUCUAUGUUCCAAAUUCGCUCAUGGGUGACAAAUUUAACGCAUUUGUGAUCCUUCGGUUGGGGUUGAAGACUCUGAUGGUUUCUCUUUAGGUUUAUUGCUUAUUGAUUUUUUUGGUUUGAGGCAGAUCAAAUCCACGGUCUAUUUGAUGCCCAAGUUCUGGAUUUGCUAAAUUUAGUGUUAUUUUUCAUGCUUUUUAAAGGAUUUAUCUCGUCUCUGUAAAUUUGGCUGUUUUCUUGUUGUUUUCGGCUAUAUAUAAAUAUAAAUAAAUAAAUAUAUAUAUAUAUAAACAUGCACUCGAAUGAAUCCUAUAAUUACAAGAAAUCAUUUUUAAGUAUGAAACCAACAUAGAGACAAGUUUUGAUGUAUGAUUUUCAAAUAUUUGUUAUUAGUUUUAUAAUUGGAAAGGAAAAUCAGUCAUUUAAAGUAUGGUUUUAUCUUUGGUUAAAACAACAACUACUAUUUGAUAGCAGAUGUGAUCCACCUUGUAUGUAUGUAUUUGUGUGUGUGUAUAUUGUGCAUCCUGUUAUAAAAGAAAAAAAGUUUAUAUAUUAUGUUUUACAUGUUGAAAAUAUAUGAAAGUUGGAAUUAUGGUAUCCAUAACUUUUUCAUAUAAAGUUUAUAUGAUAAGACUUUAAUCAUUACUUAAUAUAAAAUACUUGUUAUUAGAAAAAAAAAUUUUGCCGUUUAACUUGAGUCUGCUGCUAUAUCAGCAAGUGCUCACUGCCAUGUCAUUACGCAGACCUGUUGUUGUGUUAGCGAAACCAUUUACACAACAUGCCACUGCUGCAGUCUAUAUUGGAUCUAAGUGGACCAGCCUUAAUUGAUCUGGUUCAAUCUAUUUAACUUGAGUCUGCUGCCAUAUCAGCAAGUGCCCACUACCGUGUCAUCAUGCAGACCCCUUGUGUUAGCGAAACCAUUUACACAACAUGCCACUACUGCAGUCUAUAUUGGAUCAAGUGGAUCGACGUUAAGUAGUCUGGUUCCAUCCUCCUUAUAGCCUAAAUCAAUGUAAAUAAGUUGGAAUGGAAUAAAUUGAACAACAUUUAAAUCUGUUUGAACUUUAAUUCAUGUAACUUAAGUCUUACUUGAAUUUGGCCUCAAACUGAUUGAACUAAAUCAAUCUCAAAUUGAUGGAAUUCUACUCCUAAUGUGGUCGAACUUGGUGGCAUUAAGGCUCAACCAUGCGGCCCGUCCGAGCUAUAGGCCAGCUUCUUGCCUGGACUGGAGACACAUCAACAAAAGCAUGGCCUAGGUGGGGACCCACUCAGGUCCAGGGUGCUUAGGUUGGGCCGAGCAAGGAGCCGACUUGCAACAUUGUUAGGUCAGAUCACUGAGUUUGAUUGCACUCGGGUUGGAUUCCACCAAUUUGGGAUUGGUUUGGUUCAAUCAAUUUGAGGUUAGGUUCAAGUCAGACUUAAGUCACAUCAAUUAAGGUUCGAUACAAAUUUAAAUGGGGUUCAAUUGAUUCCAGCCUAUUAUAUUAAUUUGGGCUGUAAGGCUGACUGGGCUAAACCACUCAAGGUCAGUCCACCUAGAUCCAAUAUAGGCUCCAGUGGCAGCCCACUAUGUCAGCUGUCCACGAUGACAUGAUAGUGAAUCUACAAGAUGAUAUGGUAGUGGGCUGUUGCAGAUGUGGCAAUGGAUCCAAGUUAAACAGUAACAAUUUUUUUGCUAAUAACAAGUAUCUUAUAUCACAUAAUUAUGAAAGACCAAACGCAUAAACUCUACAUAAAAAAAAUCAAUAAUUGUAUUUUUUUUCUCUUAUAGCAGGAAGCAUGAUACGAUGUGGGUUCUUAAAGUCCAUCAAAUCAUAACACUAUACAUGUCGAAAGAUCCAUUUCUCUAAGGAACAGAUGAGAAUGGACAAAAUUGAUUGGAUUCAGACCUACUCAGCACAGAAUGGACUGGGACCUUGGAUUUGAAGAACCCAAGAAAUCAUGCAGUUUGGUACACAAAUUUAAUGUCCCAGCAUACUACCACUGAGUAGAGGGUUCUGCCCACACAGUGUUGGAUCAUGCCUCUCAUGGCUAUUCUUGACAACUGGUACUGCUGCAGUCCAUAUCACCUAACAAGUGGGCAUAUCAUGAAUCUAAAAACCGUUGGUCAUUCUGGAUAUUUCUUAGGGAUUGUUAUUAACUCUUCAAUUUAAAGAAUAAUAGAGUUAAGUAUGAGAUUACUUGUUACCUUUUGGUUUCAUUUUGGUUUCAGAACAUGGAUAUGCCUAGUUGAUGCUUUUUAAUGUACAAAGUUAACCUGUCGAGUGUUGACGAUAGUUGGACACUAACAAAUACCUUAAAAGAGGGUUAAGAUUAAAGAUUUAGAGGAUGUCACAUCUGUUUCUUCACAGAUAGGAAUCGAUGUUGGUGUGCUUUUUUUCUAUCAAAAUGAUGAGCCUGGUGAGAAUUGCAUGACAAAAUAACUCACUUAUUUUUGGUAAUAACCUAAAAGGUCACUUGGCAUAUUUGGUUGCUCGACUUAAAGCUGCUCGGCCAUUCCUGACAGUGGUCGAUAGUCUUCUCAUUUGAUGCCACAAGACUGUCGCUAGCAAGGUAAGGCUACGUAACCCUCCGCAAUUUUGCACCUAUUUUAUUGGUUUGGGAGUGCGCCCAAUAGUGAUCGUGAUGAUACCUCCAGAUUUCUGAUAAGAGUUCAAUCAGCCUAAGUCACAUAGAGUUGUAUGAAGAUGAGCAUGCUGUUCUAUGUGAUAGGGAAGCUUUAGUUUUAAUGGUUUCAGUGAAGAGUUUUAUAUAUUCAUGAUGCUCAAGUCUUCUUCUGUUAAGUGAACUUUAGUCUUCUUGUUCUGUUUUAUGUAAGCUCCUUUUGGUGAUGAUUUUUGAAUGAUGCAUCAAAUGUUUGUCAGUGUUUUUGUCUGCUUAAUCUAGCGAGCUUUCCCUUUUAAUCACGUAAAAAGGGGAUCUAAUUGACAUCAUUUUUUACAUUUAUGUCUUGCUCUUUUCCUGCUCCAGCAGAAUCAUAAUCUGGUAUCUCAUAAUGAGAAAUAAGCCUGCAAGGAAAGAAAAUAACAGCCAGGAAAUCUUGGUAAGAGUCAUGCCUCCACUGAAGCCAGCCUUUGUUAUAGAUGGUUUGUGACCAAAGAUUACAUGCUUUUGUCGACAGAAAUCCUUAUGCCAUGAAGCCACCUGGAACUGGACAUGGAUGAUCCAUAACUGGAAUAUAUGGUUAACUAGUUUAUCAUCUUUAUCAGUUGAUGAUGCGAGUAAUAACAUAGGUGUCUUCCCCUGGUAGUUAAGUGAGUAUCAACAUUAUAGGCUGCAACUUCAUUUCUUCUUCUUUUACAGUACAUUGGAGGAGGAAGACAAUCAUAUUAUUUGAAAUGCAGAACACAAGUCAGAAAAGUAAUAUGUAGGUCCGAAGAUGGAAUAUGUUCUGGUAGAGUCUUUUUGACUACCUUCUUUUUUUCUUUUAUUUUCUUGUAAGUGAGAAAUAUUCUAAUUACCUGACUGUUCUCUUUUAUAGUAGUGUAACUAUAUCCAAUUGUUUCAACUGUUCUUUAGCUUCUGGUCACCCAACUACUAUGGCUCUCAUAGCCAGGAUCAUCAUAUCAUGUUUGCAGUAAUUCACUACAGGUAAAUAUCUUAAACUCUAAAAAGAUUUGGUCAUCAAUUAUACUUCUUUUACCAACUUUGCAUGUACUCGGGAGUGCCUGCUCUGUCAACAAUGUGGAUUGCUCAACUGCAAUGAAGGACAUCAGUACCCCAGCACUGAUGUCUCACUUCAAAAGAUUGGCAUACACUGUAGUAUCCCCUGACACAAUCUUGUCUAACAAGAUAUUGCUGAUUUAAGUUUCGAGGAAGCUGUUCUCCAUUCUGAGGCAACAGAGAAGAUUCUUGGAGUACGGAUCUGUAGGUUAUGGUAAGAGAGUCAGUAGUGAGCUCUGGAUUUGAUUCCACUUGUUGGGUGCUGUCAAUGGGGGGGUAAUAAGCAAGUUUAGUGAGUGGCACAGAAGACAAUGUGAUUGCAACUUGUAAACCAAUUUGGGAGAGUUUUUAGCUAUGACCUCUUCUCUUAUUGAUCUUAUGCAAAUAUAAUCUUCAAAUGUUGAUGAAUA